rnacentral:lncRNA from 1 species
UACCUACUGGGCAUCACUCCGCCUCCGCUCUCCCACUCAACCACCUGAAGGAGGACUUACACGCCUGAAGGGGGGUGGACUUUGGCCUCGGAUCAGCUGUUAUAGAUUCGACUGGGGAAUUUUCUAACUGUGUGAUACUUCAACGGAUUCUAUUAGAGUUUCGAAGAGCAAAGGAAAGGAAAUAAGAUCGAGGGACUGAACUGCAUCUUAUUCUUUCAUAUUUACAUGCACAUAAUCAACAGGAAACACCUGGUCUUCUGCGACCCAACCUGACCUUAAGGAGGACCUUUGGAUGAAAACCUGACCCGCAAAACAACCCUAGAGUGACCUAACUACAGGCCGGACAGACCCAGACCAGAGACCACUACAAGACAGAAAACAAGGUCAUUGACACCGUUAUAGAGUGAACCGCGUAUAUAAUAAACCAUCACAAUGAUUCACAAAGUGGUGAUGAAAGUGAAGCACCUGAAGCGUGGAGUGAUUAUUGACUUGAUGACCUUGGAUGACGUGAUUAACCAGCAUUCGUGCCUGAGAAUUACGAGGACCAAGUUACAGCGGUCUUGGAGAGAGAUUGCGCCGAAAGUGAGGCAGUUUAAGAAGAAAAUGCAGCCGGGCCCUUACCCUGAAGAUGAACGCUAUAAGAAGAUGAGAAAGACACCACUGCGUUAUUGAUCACGUCUAAGAAACUCAUAUAGAUGUAAACAAAAUCAUAGGAUUCGUAUAAAAAACAAAACAUCAAUCAUACAAGAACUUCAUAUAUAUAAUUCAUAUAAAAACAAAAUAUAUCAAUCACUUAAACAACAAAACUCAUUUAAACCAUAUGAAAAAUAAUCUAAUUCAUAUAAACAAAACAUCAUUCAUAAAAAAAAACAUAAAUUGUAUAAAAAAAUACUCACGUUACCCCCUUUUCCUCUGUAUAGUCCUUCCCGUAGUGGUCAUAGGAACUAUAAAUUGUGUCUUAUUUUGUGCUGUUCGUCACAUACCGAUAAAGCUCAUUAGAGUUCGGAUAUUUUUCGAAUCCUCCGAAAUACCAUGUAUAUUAUCACCUUCAUUUCACUUGUAAUUAUAUAUCAUAUUCUCUUCGAAAAAUACGAGUCAUAUUCACGCUUUCACUUCAUUUUGCUGACGGAUAAAAAAAAAAUCCCAUAUAUCACACAUAUAUCAAUAGGAAUUAUCAGUUUGAAAAAACAUUCAAUCGCCCCCAAGAAAUUUUAAGCUAAAAAACAAAAAAUGAAAACCGUUACAAGAAAACCGGCCAACCAACGUCUUAAAAAAUAGCACUUACCGGAAAAGCUUAACUGCCAUGCGAAAGUCGGACAUGGCCGAAGAAGCAGUAUAUCUGACCCGCUCAGUUGAACCUCAGGAAAACCAUAUUGGAAAACAGUUAUAUUUUGGUCUUUUAACCUUAAACACGGAAGCACCGCAAAGGCGAGAGAAUGAAGCACUUCCACUUUUAUAAUUACAUUAAUAGUGAGAAAAAAAAACGUGUAAAAUGCAGUUACGAUGCAUCUUUGCUGUAUAUAUAUCGCAUACAUACACACAUUUUCAAACACACAUACAAGCACACUAACUCAUAUUUUUCUGUAUCAAAUACCAUUGUCUGAACCGUGCAUCAUGGAAAGUGCACAGCACAUCAUGGCAUCGACAUGAGGAAAGAAAAUCAUGAAGCAUAAUUAAGCACCUUAAGCAUGGAAACUGUCAUUAACAGACAGGUUUUCAGCUGCUCAACUAUUGCUGCUAAUGAAUACAUGUUUACCUCUACGUAUUGCUCAAAAGUACUGAAGAAUUUACCACUUUUACAAAGAACACAUUCCGUGACUCAUCAGGAUCAUCACCCCAAAUCACCAUUAGAUUCAUGAACCGUUGUUUCUCAGUCCAUUUCAUCCUCAGUAUAUAAUUUUUAAAUAUCAUACAAUAACAACGAGAAUCAUCUGUCGCCCUUUUUUUUCUUCAUCCUCAACGCAAAACCUUUGUUUCUGAAUUGUUAAAUGCAGAGCAAAGGCGCGUUGGUAACUUGCCUAACUCUGUGAUAAUCACUUUUCUUUUGUAAAGAAAAGAAUAUUGUGAUAUAUCAGUAAUGUUAAUGGUUAGGAAAGGCAUUAAAGAAUUUU